UACGGGGGGGCAAGCGUUGUUCGGAAUUACUGGGCGUAAAGGGCGCGUAGGUGGCCUUCUAAGUUGAACGUGAAAUCCCUGGGCUCAACCCAGGAACUGCGUCCGAUACUGGAAGGCUUGAAUCCGGGAGAGGGAUGCGGAAUUCCAGGUGUAGCGGUGAAAUGCGUAGAUAUCCGGAGGAACACCAGUGGCGAAAGCGGCCACCUGGACUGUACCUGACGCUCAAACGCGAAAGCUAGGGGAGCGAACGGG
rnacentral:rRNA from 1 species